CUACGGGUUGCACCAGUGGGGAAUAUUGCACAAUGGGCGCAAGCCUGAUGCAGCCAUGCCGCGUGUAUGAAGAAGGCCUUCGGGUUGUAAAGUACUUUCAGCGGGGAGGAAGGGAGUAAAGUUAAUACCUUUGCUCAUUGACGUUACCCGCAGAAGAAGCACCGGCUAACUCCGUGCCAGCAGCCGCGGUAAUACGGAGGGUGCAAGCGUUAAUCGGAAUUACUGGGCGCAAAGCGCACGCAGGCGGUUUGUUAAGUCAGAUGUGAAAUCCCCAGGCUCAACCUGGGAACUGCAUCUGAUACUGGCAAGCUUGAGUCUCGUAGAGGGGGGUAGAAUUCCAGGUGUAGCGGUGACAUGCGUAGAGAUCUGGAGGAAUACCGGUGGCGAAGGCGGCCCCCUGGACGAAGACUGACGCUCAGGUGCGAAAGCGUGGGGAGCAAACAGGAUUAGAUACCCCCGUAGUC
rnacentral:rRNA from 1 species